UGCGUAGGCGGGUUUCUAAGUCAGAGGUGAAAGCCUGGAGCUCAACUCCAGAACUGCCUUUGAUACUGGAAGUCUUGAGUAUGGCAGAGGUGAGUGGAACUGCGAGUGUAGAGGUGAAAUUCGUAGAUAUUCGCAAGAACACCAGUGGCGAAGGCGGCUCACUGGGCCAUUACUGACGCUGAGGCACGAAAAGCGUGGGGAGCAAACA
rnacentral:rRNA from 1 species